CAGAGGGUGCGAGCGUUGUCCGGAAUCACUGGGCGUAAAGGGCGCGUAGGUGGCGACCCAAGUCGAUGGUGAAAGCUCGCCGCUCAACGGCGAGUCGGCCACCGAUACUGGGUUGCUCGAGCACUGUAGAGGCUAAUGGAAUUCCGGGUGUAGCGGUGGAAUGCGUAGAGAUCCGGAAGAACACCGGUGGCGAAGGCGGUUAGCUGGGCAGUUGCUGACACUGAGGCGCGACAGCGUGGGGAGCAAACAGGAUUAGAUACCCUGGUAGUCCACGCCGUAAACGAUGGGCACUAGAUGCUUGGGGGAGCGACCCCCUGAGUGUCGUCGCUAACGCAUUAAGUGCCCCGCCUGGGGAGUACGGCCGCAAGGCUG
rnacentral:rRNA from 1 species